AUUGAACGCUGGCGGCAGGCCUAACACAUGCAAGUCGAACGAGUGGCGGACGGGUGAGUAAUGUCUGGGAAACUGCCUGAUGGCGGGGGAUAACUACUGGAAACGGUAGCUAAUACCGCAUACCAUCGGAUGUGCCCAGAUGGGAUUAGCUAGUAGGAGGGGUAAAGGCUCACCUAGGCGACGAUCCCUAGCUGGUCUGAGAGGAUGACCAGCCACCCUGGAACUGUGACACGGUCCAGACUCCCACGGGAGGCAGCAGUUGGAAAUAGUGCACAAUGGGCGCAAGCCUGAUGCAGCCAUGCCGCGUGUAUGAAGAAGGCCUGCGGGUUGUAAAGUACUUUCAGCGGGGAGGCGUUACCCGCAGAAGAAGCACCGGCUAACUUCGUGCCAGCAGCCGCGGUAAUAC
rnacentral:rRNA from 1 species